rnacentral:misc_RNA from 1 species
GCGGAAGGAUCAUUACAGCGAAGCGGCGCGAGCCGCCUUUCGAACCACCGCGUACCGAACCCCCCACGUUGCCUCGGCGGGCGCCGGGCGCCCCGCGCCCGCCCCGCCGAACGGCCCCCCAGCAAGACCCCUUCCGUCGAGAUGGCGUCGUCUGAACCCUCCGGGGAAAACGUUUCUGAAACGAAAAACACAACUUUCAACAAUGGAUCUCUUGGCUCCGGCAUCGAUGAAGAACGCAGCGAAACGCGAUAGCUAGUGUGAAUUGCAGAUUUCAGUGAAUCAUCGAGUCUUUGAACGCACAUUGCGCCUCUUGGUAUUCCUCGAGGCAUGCCUGUUCGAGCGUCGUUACGCCCCUCAAGCGCGAGCUUGGUGUUGGGGACCGCCCCUGAGACACGGCGGCGGCCCCGGAAUGCAUCGGCGGUGCUGGUCCCAGCCCGGAGCGCAGCAGACAUGCGGCUCCGCGGGCGGGGCCGGCGCCCGCCGGACAAACGACGAGACCCCUCCACAAGUCGACCUCGA